CAGGAAUAUACCAGAAGUGGAAUCGUUGGAUCAUAUGGGAGGAGAGCAAAGAGUGAGAUCAAGCCCUCUUCUCGUUCAGACACAUAGGAAGUACUCAACAGAUCUCUUGCAUUGGAUUGGAUUGGAUUGGAGAAGCUAAACCCUGUUGCAGAGUGCAACCUAAUCAGUGACGAUCUCUGUGGAUAUCUGAGAAGGACAGAUACAAACAAAGGAGACACUGGCAAAGAGCUCCCGGAGUGGGGAAAAAAAGGCCCCAGAGAACAGAAAUCAUCCAAAACAAAGACUGGAGAUACGGCUUAAAGAGCUUCAUCAUUAUUAAUUUAGGAAGCUUAAAGAGGGCUGGCAACAAGAAAAGGGCAGUAAAAAAAUCCUAAUGAUAAGCCCGCCAAGCACGUGUAGGUUGUCAGAGGCCCUGCAAGCAAGAGCGUUGCUGGCUGGCCCUUCACUUCCUUUGUUCUUCCACUGGGGCCAGGCGGCGUGCCUCAUGCAGGAGCCGGGCCCCAGGAGGGAGGCGGUGCGGUGCAGCCCACAGGGCCCUGGCCUGGCCCCGUGGGCUGUUGGCAGAGCUCCGAGAAGGCGCCGCAGUGCCGGGCAGUCUAGUGGGCAUCUCUACUCAAAUAUGGAAACUAUUUAACAACAGGCUUGGCAGUGGCAUUGACCAAUCAGAAUGGAACCCACCUACCGUGCUGAGUCAGGGUGCUGGCAGGUGCCUACUGUGCCAGCCUUUGCCCAUUUAGUAAAGUUGCUGAGUUGUGGGGGUCAUCUGGAGAUUUUAGGAGAGAGGUGAGGGCAGCUUGGGGAGCAGGUGGGUGGGAGAAAGGCUUGGGGAGUGAGUUUUUGUUAACCAGUAUGCAGCGUAUUUCAAUAUUUUAACAACUAAUCCAGCUGUCCCAGUGCAGACCAGCUGAAUUUCUGCCUUGGGAUCAUCCCUGUAAUUUGCACUGCUAUAGGGACUGAGCUAUAAAAUAGAAUUGGAUCUCCUUGGUGGAACCAUUCAUCAGUUCUAUUGGAGAAAGUUAAUCAGACACCAUAGCUGACAGUUCUCAAGAGUGGGUGCUUCAAGGAACACCAAGGCUAGUCACUCUUGACUGCUCCGAUUUUCUUAAAUGUGCAUUUCCUCCUCCCUCCACGGAGCCCCCUUUGGUUCCUUUCUCUUUCUCAGGGCUCUUGCUCUCCAGUCCUCAUGCCCGUCCCAUGUAUUUUAAUCAAAAGUGAGGAGAAGGCAGCUCGUGGGUUGUCAUGAGGUUGAGAGGAUGUGAGAUGACCACCGUGCUGUUUUCAUCUCCCUAAGACAGCAUUCUGGCGUUCCGCAGUGCCAGCCGGUUAGAGGAUGUCACUGAGAAAUGCGAAUAGCCCAACUCCGGCAUUAUCACCUCCUUCCAGUUUCCUGAGCACAGAACACCAGAACUGGGGCUUGCUAAUCUGAUUUCAUCACUUGGGCAGUGGCGGUUUUAUUGCAGGAGGCUGCCAAUUCCAGGCCUAUUUUUUUUUUUUUGGAGGGAGGGGAAGUGUUUGCAGAUAGCAGGUGUGUUUCUGCCUGUAUAUUACAAUCUAAUAGGUAACCCAUCUUGUUCCCAAAAGGGUUUAAGGCUCUUCUCAAUCUGAAGUGUUUCAGCUUCAACCCAAGAUAGCUAGCUCUGAUGUAUUAAACUUUUUAAGAAAGGAGAAAUUAAAAAUAACAAUUCCCUAUGUAAUAGAAUUCUUGACUUCUGACUGUUCAAAAUAAUUCAAGCUCCCUACAUGUAUAAUAAGGGAAGAGAUUCCUUUAUUGGAGCAGAGUGGGUUCAGAAUUGCCUCACAACGUUUUUCACAUUUUACCUCAAAAUUUCCUGAUACCAGAGGACCAGGACUCUGCAUCCCAGGGGUUUAAGGGCAAGUUCAGAGGGGCCUGCAGCAAGCAGAAACUUCUCCAAACUUACAUAUUUUAAAUUUCAAUGGUAAAUCUUGCAUGCUGUUCCAUAAUUGAUUUAUUUUUAAUAUAAAAUUAUGUAUCUGAUUUUUAAUUUCAAGGAAGAUCCCUCCUUCACAUUCUAUAUCUUUGGUAAAGUUGACCCUCCUUAUGGGUCUUGUGAUGCACCUGGUACUCUCCUCCCCAAAGGCCCUGCCCACAGGCCCUGGUUUCCUGUAGGAAAUGCCAGCUCACACCCACCAGUGCCUGUAACCCAGCAAAGGAAAAGGACCUGGGAGAGUCUUGGCCUUGGGGAGACCAGAGGCCCAAGGGGCCCAGACCACCUCUGGCAUUUCCAUGUCUUCGUGGUUCCCAAGAUCUGAUGACCUACUGCCUACGAGUCUGACCUGUGACCAAGUGCCCCCAUCACAGGAAACUUGUUUAUGCUGGUGGAUACCCUUGUGGCUCUUGUCCAACCUGUGUCCGGUUUAUUCCUACCAAGAUAGCCACUCUCUGGGAGGGCACUGACUGGGAAAGAAGUCAGGGCCAGUUGUAGAUGAAAUCUUCUGGAUUCUUGUACCCACCAGGACAGAGGGAUGGUCUGAGAUCCGGGACACCAAGCUGUUCAGUCUCUGCUUGCCUGGCAGCAGCAGCAAGGUAGCCUCCUGGGAGAGGGAUCUGUGGCCCCAGGAAACUAAGACAUUGAAUUGGAUCGUCCACGAUGGCUUAGGUGAGCUGCUGAGAGAUUGCAGAUGGAAAUCACAUAAAACAAAUUGGAACAAGUUGCUGUUCUGUCCUGAUUAUGUGAGUGAGAAGGACUUGUCACAGAAGACAUGAAUUGAGUGAGAUCUUAAAAGAUUGCUCACAGGGCAGAGAAAGAGGAGGAAGGAGCUGGAGUCACAUGGGCACAGGGAGGAAAGGACGAGCCUGCGUCAUGUGAUGAGAGAGGUCUGGAGGUGAGACCCUCAGGAAUGUGAAAGAGGAUGGGGAAGCCCCACCUAGGAGUGAGAUGGUUGCCUCUGACUCCUCUGACCUCAGAAGACCUUGGCAGCCUAAAGGUCAUUCCCUGCGGUGAUAAGAUACUGUAUUAAUAGAAGACUGUAAAGCAAUGGGAGAGGGGGCCAGGUCAAGUUCACCUUCUCCUUUUGAUCAGCUUAUUUGGUUGAAGCCAGAGCAUACAGGGUGUGGACCCUAGAGAUUCUGGGGAGGUCUGAAAUGACUGUGCAAUGGAGAAAGAAGAAGGAAUUUUUGCGGGAGCCGGUGUUGUGGUUUGAGUUGUGUCCCACCACAACCUGAAUGUUGAAGUCCUAACCCCUAAUACCCCAGAAUGUGACCUUAUUUGGAGAUAGGCUCUUAACAGAGGCAAUCAGUUAAAGUGAUGUCAUGAGUGUGGUCCCCAGCCCAAUAUGUCCAGUGCCCUUACAAGAAGGGGAAAUUUGUACAGGAAGAAACGCACCCGAGGAGAACACAAUGUAAAUAUGAAGACAAGCAUCUGCAAGCUAAGGAGAGAGGCCCGGAACACAUCCUUCCCUCACAGCCCUCAGGAGGAAGCAACCUGCCAACACCUUGAUCUUGGACUUCUGGCUUCCAGAACUGUGGACAACAAAUUUCUGUUGUUUAAGACACCCAGUCUAUGACACUUUGCUAUCAAAAUGCAAUUGGCUAGUGCUGCUGGCCUCCUGCUUCCAUCAGCACAGGGAGGAUUAAGAAGACAAAGGUCUAGAGAUUCUACAAAGCAAAGGUGAGUUUCUUCUGGUGUGACACCAGGAAACUCCAGUGGUGUUUACAUAAAUGAAACAAGUGCUCAUACUUCAGCUGAUUCAAUGAUUUCUGUCCUCUUAACAAGCGGUGUUCAUUGGCCCACAGUAAUUGUGCAUCUGCUGCAUGAUCAGUUGCAAACUGGCCACGCAUCCUAGUAGGAAUGCACCAUGGCUGAUUCUGUGCCUGUCUGCCGAAAAACACCAGUGAGCUGGGCUGAGAUGCAGCGAGUGAGAGCUGGCCUGAAAAUCUUCACUGAGGUUCCCAUAAAUCCUUCUGAGCCUGGUCUCCCCAGCCCAGCCACAGUCACUUCUGAUUGUGAGUAUUAGGAUGAAGGAUCCAAAGCUUGGGCCAAAAAGGCUGUCUAAGACAUGCUUUCUCUUUCCAGGGUGAAUGGAGACUCUUCAUUGGAUUUUCAUUCAUUCAAAGAGAACAAAUUGUUAGGAAGAGCGCAAACAUUGGUAUUUCCUUUCUUUGUACCUGGUUCUUUAAAAGUAGAUUUUUCUUUCUCUCCUUUUCCUUUCCUCCAAAAAAUGGGGAAAAUAUAAAUGCUAAUUAGGAUGCAAUUAUCCUAAUGGAUCAGUUUACUGGAUAUGCCAAAUAGAUGCUCACCGUAACAGUGACCUGGCAACAACAUAAUACACUAUUUGUAGGAGAAAUAUUAGAGAGGGCAAGAGAGGCGGGCCAACA